rnacentral:lncRNA from 1 species
AUACCUUGUUCUCCGCUCCCGGCCUGGGCGAUCGAUGAGUGCGCCGCCGAGCGGCUGCGGUGCGCAGGCUCCCGGCGCUGACCGCGGGAGGUCCGCGGUGGACACCGCACUUGGCCAGAUGUGGCCGGCCUAGUGGCAGCUCGGCCAGCUGUGCGUCUCCUCCUUCCCGCCAGCUUUCCCUCCCCCACCGGGUUUCAGAGGUGCAAAUGCAAAUGAAUCAGGAUUGAAAUCUAAUUGCUUUUGUUUAAAAAAAAAAUGAAAAGGAGCGAAUCUGUGUUGGGCUUAAGGAAAAGCGAGUGCGGCGUGGAAGGUGGGGGUUAAGAAUCUCAGGAAACCACGCCAAAUGCCUGGAGAUAGGGAGGGCUAGUUCUCUGGAGGUUCAAAGUCCCUCCAGCUGUCUUUUGAGAUUUUUCUGGUCCCUCCUUCAUGAGUCCCAGGAUCCCACCUUUCCUGACACUUGGCUCUGGGCCUAUCUGAUGUCCAUGGCCCAGGUCCAAGGGCAAGGGCUACAUGUGGCUGUUACUAGGAGGAGGCUAGAAGCUGAGCCAAGGGCCUGGAGCCCCGGGGGCGGGAAGGCCUGAAGCCAAUCAAGCUGUGUGUAAGGAAGACGUAAGAGGUGUGGCCAUCACAUCCCUUCCCAU